AGAACGCCAUCAGCUCGCUGCUUAAAGCCGUGUUUGCUCUCAUUUUCUCAAAGAAAUCUGUUUUAGUUUGAGAUUACAGUUUAUCAAAUGUUAAGGCUUUGACCCCAAAAUCUGGUCCCAGAAAGACAGGAAGGCCAGGUAAGAGGAGGUUUUCAGAGUGCGUAGAAAGGCUGCUCUGUGCUUCGGCAAUUCUUUUGGAAGUGCUUCUUCGGUUGGCAAAGAUUCCUAGCAAAACCUUUGACUGGAGGCUUUACAGGGCCAUAUACCCAAUAUCACUAAUGACAGUGUUGUAAAAUAGCUUUUGUGCACCAUGCUUAGGAUUCAAGGAGGAUAAAGAUAAAGUAUAUCUUUCUAAAGUUAUACUUUAGAAACUAUCAUUCCAUGUUGAAAUGAUAAACAUUCCAUGUUUAUCUUUUGUGUAAGAAGUAAAAAAGCAAAAAUUCAUUGCAUCAAAGUAGGUCAGGCACUGUUAAAGCCAAGCUUCCCCAUCGCCUAAAAAAUGUGGACAAACUCAGAGGAAGUCAGUGAGUUGUAAGCUGAUCCCUGGAGCCAGUUCUUACAUAAUUGUGUUAGUCUGCUCCUCCAAGAAGCAGACUCCAAGAUAGAAUUAAAUAUGCAUGGAUUUUAUUAGGGGAAAUGCUGGUGUGAGAGAGAAUGAGGAGAGAACUAGGUAAGGCUGUGAGAGCCGUCAGACCUCGAUGCAAGUCCACCCGCGAGGGAGGAAAAGAAGGAAGCCAGGUUGAGUGGAAGCAUCCCAGACAGCUGUGUAGUCUAAGAGAACUUCAGCAAGAUUAAACCACAGGUUCCAUUAUGGGUCGACUUGAUGGGAAAGUCAUCAUCCUGACAGCCGCUGCUCAGGGGAUUGGCCAAGCAGCUGCCUUAGCUUUUGCAAGAGAAGGUGCCAAAGUCAUAGCCACAGACAUUAAUGAGUCCAAACUUCAGGAACUGGAAAAGUACCCAGGUAUUCAAACUCGUGUCCUUGAUGUCACAAAGAAGAAACAAAUUGAUCAGUUUGCCAAUGAAGUUGAGAGACUUGAUGUUCUCUUUAAUGUUGCUGGUUUUGUCCAUCAUGGAACUGUCCUGGAUUGUGAGGAGAAAGACUGGGACUUCUCGAUGAAUCUCAAUGUGCGCAGCAUGUACCUGAUGAUCAAGGCAUUCCUUCCUAAAAUGCUUGCUCAGAAAUCUGGCAAUAUUAUCAACAUGUCUUCUGUGGCUUCCAGCGUCAAAGGUGGGUCUGUCUCCUUCUGAGGACUGUGAUGCUCAUACACACACAUCAUUAAGAGCUCUGCGUUUGGGAACAGGCAUAGCAGAGAUUAUAAUUUCAAGUAUUGAAAUGAUUUCAAAACUGCUUUUUUCAAAAUUGGUAUUAAGUUCCUUAACCACAGAUCUUUUGCUCUCGAUGUGAGCCAGUGGUAAAAUUAAAUUAAAAUGUGGGGUAUUUUUGCCCUCCCUUUUAUUCUUUCUAAUGGACAUGGAAAUGAACAUCAAACUGGGAGAAAGAACCAUUUAACAUUUAAUUAAUUUAAAAUAGUGUAUUGAGCACCGGUAUGUGCUCUGGCCAUAAAAGAAUUCACAGUCCAAAACUAGGAGCAAGGCAGCAAACAUCAUCUUCCCCAGUGUGAUGAUAUAUAACAGAGGUUUGUACAAAGCGCUGUCAAAAUACAGGGAAAUAACUGCCUGUGAGUUUGUGGAAUGCUUCACAAAGACAGUUGAUCUGAGCCAUCAGCGAGAAGUCAAGUUGAAGGACAAGGACAGCAGUGCAAAAUGUGGAUUAUGUCACAAUCUGGCAUAGUUGGAUCUGUGAGUUUAAAAUGAAAUAGUUACUGCUGAGAUAACAUUUCUUCUCUUUGCAAGGAUACACAUAUUCAACAUACACAAGAGAGGAAUGUAAAGAAGUGCCUAGGCCUCCUGUUUUAUUGUUUUGUUUUGUUAUUAAUCUUCAUUUUCUUUUGGAAUCUGCCUAAGAGUUAUGGCAACUGAUGAUGAGAAACUAAGACUACCAAUGUUAAGUAAGUUCAGCAUUUCAAUUAAGUCUCCAUUAAGUUGUGCCUAUACUGAUAUUAUUUCCCUAGAUCCAGAAACUGACUCUACUGAAGGAAAAAAAUCUGAUAUCAAUCUUUUUAAAAGGGGAGGAAUGUGGGAGAAAGCAUGAAAAUGGCUACUGGGAAAACUUAUUUGUGUUACCUUUCUGAAGGAAAAUACAUUUUUUAUUCCUUCAAUUGUUGAACCUUUCCUCCACCCUCAGGAGUUGUGAACAGAUGUGUGUACAGCACAACCAAGGCAGCCGUGAUUGGCCUCACAAAAUCUGUGGCUGCAGAUUUCAUCCAGCAGGGCAUCAGGUGCAACUGUGUGUGCCCAGGAACAGUUGAUACGCCAUCUCUACAAGAAAGAAUACAAGCUAGAGGAAAUCCUGAAGAGGCACGGAAUGAUUUCCUGAAGAGACAAAAGACGGGAAGAUUCGCAACUGCAGAAGAAAUAGCCAUGCUCUGCGUGUAUUUGGCUUCUGAUGAAUCUGCUUAUGUAACUGGUAACCCUGUCAUCAUUGAUGGAGGCUGGAGCUUGUGAUUUUAGGAUCUCCAUGGUGGGAAGGAAGGCAGGCCCUUCCUAUCCACAGUGAACCUGGUUACGAAGAAAACUCACCAAUCAUCUCCUUCCUGUUAAUCGCAUGUUAAUGAAAAUAAGCUCUUUUUAAUGAUGUCACUGUUUGCAAGAGUCUGAUUCUUUAAGUAUAUUAAUCUCUUUGUAAUCUCUUCUGAAAUCAUUGUAAAGAAAUAAAAAUAUUGAACUC
rnacentral:sRNA from 1 species